rnacentral:lncRNA from 1 species
CCUUGAGAAAACUGAUGUCUAUUUUGGGGAAGAGUUGGGCGACCAAAAUUUUGCAUUCUCCAAAAUCAGUUUCAAAGGUUGUGACAAAUGCCUUCCUAAUUUGGAGGUUUACCUCGAGUCGAGCGGUAGCAAGUAGGGACUCAUUGUGCUCGACCUUGCUUUCGACAAAUCUCCUCGUUGCCACACUCUCUGUUAACCUGAUCCAAAGAUCCACCAUCCCUGAUAUAUAUUUAUUCAUGGUCUGAAGGAGGUUGUCGACAAUUUUUCAAGCUGAAGUAAGUUUGGAGCGAA